rnacentral:rRNA from 1 species
GGGAAUUUUGGACAAUGGGCGCAAGCCUGAUCCAGCAAUGCCGCGUGCAGGAAGAAGGCCUUCGGGUUGUAAACUGCUUUUGUACGGAACGAAACGGUCCGGGUUAAUACCCUGGGCUAAUGACGGUACCGUAAGAAUAAGCACCGGCUAACUACGUGCCAGCAGCCGCGGUAAUACGUAGGGUGCAAGCGUUAAUCGGAAUUACUGGGCGUAAAGCGUGCGCAGGCGGUUUUGUAAGACAGGCGUGAAAUCCCCGGGCUCAACCUGGGAAUUGCGCUUGUGACUGCAAGGCUGGAGUGCGGCAGAGGGGGAUGGAAUUCCGCGUGUAGCAGUGAAAUGCGUAGAUAUGCGGAGGAACACCGAUGGCGAAGGCAAUCCCCUGGGCCUGCACUGACGCUCAUGCACGAAAGCGUGGGGGGCAAAC